GCUCGGGUGGCUCAGUUGGUUGAGUGCCUGACUUGAGCUCAGGUCAUGGUUUUACGGUUUGGGUUCGUGGGAUCGAGCCCCGCGUCGGGCU
rnacentral:tRNA from 1 species